CAGGGGACGUAGAGAAUGCAGGAAUAAACAGGAGUCCAAGCGCAUAUCUAUUAAACCCAGCACAGGAGAGAGCACGAUACCCAGCUAAUGUUGAUAAAGAAAUGAAUCUUUUGAAGUUUGUAGAUAAAGCAACUGGGAAAAGUAUCGGAGCAUUCAGCUGGUAUGCUACCCAUGGAACUUCUAUGAGCAGAGACAAUAAGCUCAUCAGUGGAGACAACAAGGGUGCUGCUGCUAGGUUCUUCGAGGAUUGGUUCACUUCUACAACCAAAUCUAACUCAACAACAGUCAUGAACUUCCCCACACCAG
rnacentral:misc_RNA from 1 species